GUUGAUCCUGCCAGUAGUCAUGUGCUUGUCUUAAAGACUAAGCCAUGCAUGUCUAAGUAUAAAUAUUAUACAGUGAAACUGCGAAUGGCUCAUUAAAACAGUUAUAGUUUAUUCGAUAAUUUCUCCUACAUGGAUAACCGUAGUAAUUCUAGAGCUAAUACAUGCUGUCAAACCUGACUUCGCGGAAGGGUUGUAUUUAUUAGAUAUAAACCAAUACCUUCGGGUGUUGUGAUGAUUCAUAAUAACUGAGCGAAUCGCGGUUGUACCGCGAUAGAUCGUUCAAGUUUCUGCCCUAUCAGCUUUCGAUGGUAGUGUAUUGGACUACCAUGGCAGUCACGGGUAACGGGGAAUUAGGGUUCGAUUCCGGAGAGGGAGCCUGAGAAAUGGCUACCACUUCUAAGGAAGGCAGCAGGCGCGUAAAUUACCCAAUCCUGAUUCAGGGAGGUAGUGACAAGAAAUAACAACUCGGGUCCCUCACGGGACUGCGAGAUUGCAAUGAGAACAAUUUAAACCACUUAUCAAGGAGCAAUUGGAGGGCAAGUCUG
rnacentral:rRNA from 1 species